ACAGGCGUAGUCGAUGGACACCGGGUUGAUAUUCCCGUACCGGCGCUAGCACGUCCAUGCCGAGGCGAGCGAUGCUAAGCACGCAAGCUUGUCGGAGACCUUCGGGUCGAUGACGAGUGAGUCUGCGAUCCAGACUUGUAUUAGGCAAGCUGCGGAGUGACGCAGGAAGGUAGCCCAUCCCGGGCGAUGGUAGUCCCGGGCUAAAUGCGUAGGGAGAGUCGUAGGCAAAUCCGCGACUCACAUAUCCUGAGACAUGACGGCUGGUUCGAAUACGUUCGAACGAGUGGGUGAUCCUAUGCUGCCUAGAAAACCUUCGUGAGCGAGUUCUAGAGCCGCCCGUACCCUAAACCGACACAGGGGGUCAGGUAGAGAAUACCAAGG
rnacentral:rRNA from 1 species